rnacentral:lncRNA from 1 species
UAAAAUGCAAUUAGAAUAUAUAAUAUUCAGACCAAAACGUGGGAUAUCGUUCCCACUUUAGGGAUAGUGCUUCUAGGCUAAGAAAUGUACAUCCUGUAUUUAGAGUGUAUUUAAAUAAUUUAGACACAGAACAUGUUUAAAUUCCAAGAUGGAAUUCAUUUUUAAAAUGCCCUGACAUUUCAUGGGGUCAUUUUCUUUUAAAAACAUACUGAGCUUUAGGAAGGAAAUGAGCAUGAUGAUAACUUUUGAAUCAUCCUUUAGAAAGGAACAUGGUGAUGG